UGGGUCCAUUCAAUUAGAAUUCUGCAAUUGGGCCGGUCUCUUGGACCUUUUGGGGGCCCAUUUUUGCUUGAAUCUGCUGGAACAAAAGUAAUUGGGCCUUGGCUCUGCAUUUUGCUAUUUUUGACUUGUAUCUCAAUUUUUAGCCUUUAUGGCUCGAUUCGGAUUCGGAAAUGCAAGGAAAAGAGGUCCGUCGUGGACUCAAAGAGGUUCAUGCAACACACAAAAGGGAAGAUGAUAUUAAUAUUCAAAAUAAGGAAACAAGUAAGUCAUGAUUUCAAUUUAUGAGGUGGUAAGCUUAGACAAUUUAAAAUAAAAGAAAGUUAUUACUAGUGUAUUAAAUGGAAUUCAAGGGAAAGUACAAGCCAAGAAAAGGGUGAAAACACAUAUUUGACAAUAAGACUUACUGCCUAUUAUAUUAAAAGGACACCUCAUAUUUAUUCACUCCGAAAUGCCAAUAUUAAACAAAUAUCAACAAGGCAUAUCGGAUAAACCCAUAAUCUAGCAUGCUCGAAAAUAUGACAAAAUGUAUGAAAAAGCAAUAUGAGCUAUCUGCUACCAUUAAACAAAUACCUAAUAACCUAUAGCUAGGCAGUAGACAACUUAGACAAAAUCCACACCCGACU
rnacentral:lncRNA from 1 species